GUCCCGUGAUCCGGGACGAGGACCGUGUCUGGUGGGUAGUUUGACUGGGGCGGUCUCCUCCUAAAGAGUAACGGAGGAGUACGAAGGUGCGCUCAGCGUGGUCGGAAAUCACGCGUAGAGUAUAAAGGCAAAAGCGCGCUUAACUGCGAGACCCACAAGUCGAGCAGGUACGAAAGUAGGUCUUAGUGAUCCGGUGGUUCUGUAUGGAAGGGCCAUCGCUCAACGGAUAAAAGGUACUCUGGGGAUAACAGGCUGAUACCGCCCAAGAGUUCAUAUCGACGGCGGUGUUUGGCACCUCGAUGUCGGCUCAUCUCAUCCUGGGGCUGAAGCAGGUCCCAAGGGUAUGGCUGUUCGCCAUUUAAAGAGGUACGCGAGCUGGGUUUAGAACGUCGUGAGACAGUUCGGUCCCUAUCUACCGUGGGCGCUGGAAAUUUGAGAGGAUCUGCUCCUAGUACGAGAGGACCAGAGUGGACGAACCUCUGGUGUACCGGUUGUGACGCCAGUCGCAUCGCCGGGUAGCUAUGUUCGGAAGGGAUAACCGCUGAAAGCAUCUAAGCGGGAAGCCUACCUCAAGAUAAGAUUUCCCUAGGACUUUAUGUCCUCUAAAGAGCCGUUCGAGACUAGGACGUUGAUAGGUUGGAUGUGGAAGCAUAGUGAUAUGUGAAGCUGACCAAUACUAAUUGCUCGUGAGGCUUGACUAU
rnacentral:rRNA from 1 species